UGGAGUUUCUCAUGACUGUGCCUGCAUUGUGAGGAUAAAAUGUUGAUUUUAUCAUGCCUGAGCUAUCUGCAUAAUCUCCUUCCCUGACUGCUGAGCCUUCUGAACAAAUCCUGCCGUAAAGACACAAAAAUGUUCUAUUUUCUAACUUGUUUUGGAAAGAUCCAUCUCAUCCAGCACUGCAGGCUUUGGAGAAGCCACAUCCACCAAAUUUUGUCUUCAGUGGAGCCUGGAGUUCAUCCUUCAUGCUGGAGCCAGAGGAAGCUGAUAUCAGGGAACAAAUUUACAGCAGAGCCUCACCCAAGAGCAGAGGAGAGGCCUUUCUUCUUGAUAAAAUGGUGAUUCCCAGAUGGUGCUGUCCUAGAUGGAGGAUGCUCAGAUUUUCUUUAUUCCAUUCCAGUCUAUGGCUGAGACUGACCUAUGGUGAAAGCUGCUCUUUUCUCUUGGGAAUGUGCUGAGUUUUGAGGCCUGGUGCAAAUUGGUGCGGAUUCACAAUUUAUGGAUGCAGAAAGAGCGCAGGCUUGCUGACAAACUUCAGUUUUUUGCUGUGGGUGAAAGGAACAGCAAGAAAAGGAGAUGAAACAUCUGGCACAGCUCAGCACCUGCUUGUGUCUGUGACUGCUGCUCCAGGCCAAACUCCUGAGGAAAACCAAGGAGGCAUCAGCCAUGAUUCCAACAGGUGACGCUGAAUCUUCCCAAAAUAAUCCCUGCCGGCUUG